rnacentral:rRNA from 1 species
AUUGAACGCUGGCGGCAGGCCUAACACAUGCAAGUCGAACGAGUGGCGGACGGGUGAGUAAUGUCUGGGAAUCUGCCUGAGGGAGGGGGAUAACUACUGGAAACGGUUGCUAAUACCGCAUAGUAUCGGCUGGGCCCAGAUGGGAUUAGCUAGUGGGGGGGGUAAAGGCUCACCUAGGCGACGAUCCCUAGCUGGUCUGAGAGGAUGAACAGUCACACUGGAACUGAGACACGGCCCAGACUCCUACGGGAGGCAGCAGUGGGGAAUAUUGGACAAUGGGCGAAAGCCUGAUGCAGCCAUGCCGCGUGUAUGAAGAAGGCCGUCGGGUUGUAAAGUACUUUCAGCGGGGAGGCGUUACCCGCAGAAGAAGCACCGGCUAACUCCGUGCCAGCAGCCGCGGUAAUAC